ACUGAUCUUCCUCUCCAUUUAAGAGGAAGGACAGGCGUUUUGCCAGCUAAGGAAGCUGCAUGCUUCUCCGGUUUGUUCCAGCUUUUAGGUCAGCUAAGACGAGAGAGUCGUGGCCAGCUCUGCAAGAACCUAUUUUAGGGUCCUGGAGACACUGACUGGAUCAGGAUAUAACUUGCUGAGACCUUAGAGAUGUCUUCCAAAUGAUUAUUCCCAACAGCUUCAAAACUUACUGCUCACUUGGGCUAACGAUCGGGCGUUAAAGCGUCCAAACCUAGCUCCUAACCCUAUGUACAAACAAAAACAUUCUUCACGUAGGGCUUUUUCAUCUCAGUCGGUGGCUAUUCCAUGUUUUAAGGGCAAAAAUCUUGACGUAAUAUCUGCCUUAUUCCCCGGUCCAUGCCCCAUCUGCCCAAGAUCCGCUUGGUCCUGGCUUCAAAGUAGAUCCGUAGCCCCACCCACUUCCAUCACGUCACCUAUCUGGGGUGCAUCACUUCCACCUCACCUGUGUGACGCCUGCAUAGAAGCCAGACCGAACCUACCCUGAGGUGUCCACUUGACCAUUCUAGAAUCGCCUGGGAGAAAAAGCCCCUGGGCCUGGCUGGAGGGUUGUCUUGUGUUAUUUAAGACGGGCAGAACCACUCCCUAGGUAGAGGAUUCUAGACUGUAUAAAAUCAAUGGAAAUGAGCUGAAGACGAGCAUGAAUAUAUUACUCUCGCCUCUUGACUACCGAUGUAAGGCCUGGCUCCCUGACUAGAUGAACGGAAACUGGAAGCCGAAGAAGUCCUUUACCCCUCAAAUUCCUUUCGCCAGAAUGUUUUAUCACAACGACGGGAAAAGAAACUAAGCAGUCCCCAUUUCAUUUGGAGUGACUCUUCUUAAUCACAGCUCACAGGUCACCUCACUCCACCUAAGCUGGCCUUCCCUAUCUUUGACACUCACAGUCCCGUCAAGUGUCACCUCCUCGAUGAAACCUGCUUAAAGCUGUAAACCGCUUGGACCCAUCCGGGCCCCUUUCCCACAGCUUCUACUGUUGUUCACCGGAGUUCAUCUUCUGAGGAUAGUCUCUCUACCCUGCACACAUACUAUAGCCAUCAGAGCAAGAGUUGUUUCUGUUGCUUAAAAAUGGGCAGGAGGGCUAGAGAGAUGGCUCAGCGGUUAAGAGCACUGACCGCUCUUCCAGAGGUCAUGAGUUCAAAUCCCAGCAACCACAUGAUGGCUCACAACCAUCUGUAAUGAAAUCUGAUGCCCUCAUCUGGUGUGUCUGAAGAUAGCUACAGUGUGUAUAUAUAUAUAUAUAUAUAUAUAUAUAUAUAUAUAUAUAUAUAUAUAAUAAAAUCUUUUUUUUUAAUGGGCAGAAGCUGACAGUCAUCCUCACGUGUUUGCUGCUGAAAUAAAUGUCCCCAGAUUGCACACUUC
rnacentral:lncRNA from 1 species